rnacentral:rRNA from 1 species
ACUUAAGCAUAUCAAUAAGCGGAGGAAAAGAAACCAACAGGGAUUGCCUCAGUAACGGCGAGUGAAGCGGCAACAGCUCAAAUUUGAAAUCUGGCCNNNUCGGGGUCCGAGUUGUAAUUUGUAGAGAGUGCUUCGGGUGAGACCGCGGUCUAAGUCCAUUGNAACACGGCGUCAUAGAGGGUGAGAAUCCCGUAUGUGACUGUGGCUCGAGCCCAUGUGAAGCCUCUUCGACGAGUCGAGUUGUUUGGGAAUGCAGCUCAAAAUGGGUGGUAAAUUUCAUCUAAAGCUAAAUACUGGCUGGAGACCGAUAGCGCACAAGUAGAGUGAUCGAAAGAUGAAAAGCACUUUGGAAAGAGAGUCAAACAGUACGUGAAAUUGUUGAAAGGGAAGCGCUUGCAACCAGACCUGUCCGUAGGUGAUCAGCCGCUGUUUUCAGUGGUGCACUCGCUCUGCGAUCAGGCCAGCAUCGGUUCUGGCGGUCGGAUAAAGGCCUUGGGAAUGUAGCUCCCCUCGGGGAGUCUUAUAGCCCUCGGUGCAAUGCGGCCAGCCGGGACCGAGGACCGCGCUUCGGCUAGGAUGCUGGCGUAAUGGUUGUAAGCGACCCGUCUUGAAACACGGACCAAGGAGUCUACAUCUUAUGCGAGUGUUUGGGUGUCAAACCCAUACGCGGAAUGAAAGUGAACGGAGGUGAGAACCCUUAAGGGCGCAUCAUCGACCGAUCCAGAUGUCUUCGGAUGGAUUUGAGUAUGAGCAUAAUACGUGGGACCCGAAAGAUGGUGAACUAUGCCUGAAUAGGGUGAAGCCAGAGGAAACUCUGGUGGAGGCUCGCAGCGGUUCUGACGUGCAAAUCGAUCGUCAAAUUUGGGUAUAGGGGCGAAAGACUAAUCGAACCAUCUAGUAGCUGGUUC